UAAUAGCAUUUGCUAACAUUUACUAUUUUCUUGCCAUUCUUUUAUUAAAAUACCUUGUUCACACCUCAGGGCCUAACAAAGCAAGGGUGCUCCGACAACUGUGGCGUGUUUGAUUUGAUGGUAAGACCUAUUCAGUAUGUUAUAUCAUUGCUGUUAUCUGUAAAAUGUUUGCUUGCUACAUUCAAAACACAUUAUUUGUAUUGAAAAAUUGCAUCCUGGGGGAAUAUGCGUGACAUUACAUUAACCAGUACCUCUUGAUUUACAGUAUGCUCUGUACAUUGUAAUGGGGGCCAAUUGCGACUUCAGCGAGGUAUGUGAAAAUUGUGACACAUUACGCUUAGUAUACAAGGUAUUAUUUUUCGCAACAUAUUUGAAUCUUCCUGCAUUUCCUUCUUCAAAGGAAAACAGGCUGCACAUUAGGAGAUGGUGGUGUCUUGUUCUCCUGCAGAACUUUCCCAUGCCGUAAGUGCACUCAAUAUCACAUUUUUGAAUCAGAUCCUUUUAAAUAACCAGUUUUACUCAUUGUCAACAGACCAACAUGAAUGUUUUCAUAGCGAAUGUAUGUUGUCAUUAAAUCAACAAGGUCUGAGGAAGACAGAUUGCAGGAAAGAAAAAGACGAAGAGAGCAAAAAGGAAAACAGGAUGUGGAAGUGGUCCCUCCAAAAAAGUUCGUCCUUUCAGAAUCUCUCUGAAGCAUCAGCGGAGGCUGAGAACUUGCCGGAACUGGGAACAGGGAACGGAGAGGAUGCUCUACUUAGGGACACCAUUGAGGCAGCAAGGUGGUGUGGCACAAAAGCAUUCAGGGGAAAACUUUCCCUUCCUCAGGUCAUCACCAUGGACGAGGAAGAUGGAUUGAGGGCAGUGGAACUGCUACGCAUGUCUGAUGGCCUGGAUGAAGAGGAGAUAAAUGAUCUCAGGGAACCGUUCCUGUUCCUUUUUAGUUUGCAGGAAGAUUAUGAUGAGUUCUGUGAGAAAAUGAUGGACAAAAGGCAGAUGCAGGUGUUUUCUGCAUUUGAAAGAAGUGACAGACAGGAAUAA
rnacentral:lncRNA from 1 species